rnacentral:rRNA from 1 species
UACGGGGGGAGCAAGCGUUGUUCGGAUUUACUGGGCGUAAAGGGCGCGUAGGCGGCCACCGCAAGUCGACUGUGAAAUCUCCGGGCUUAACCCGGAAAGGUCAGCCGAUACUGCGGGGCUAGAGUGCAGAAGGGGCAACUGGAAUUCUCGGUGUAGCGGUGAAAUGCGCAGAUAUCAGGAGGAACACCGAUGGCGAAGGCAGGUCUCUGGGCAUUAACUGACGCUGAGGAGCGAAAGCAUGGGGAGCGAACAGG